rnacentral:tRNA from 1 species
GGUUUCAUAGUUUAAUAAAAAUGUUAAGUUGCAAACUUAAAGAUAUAUGAAUAUAUUAUUGAAACUU